AGUAACGCGUGGGUAACCUGCCUUGUACUGGGGGACGAACAGUUGGAAACGACUGCUAAUACCGCAUAAGCGCACAGCUUCGCAUGAAGCAGUGUGAAAAACUCCGGUGGUACAAGAUGGACCCGCGUCUGAUUAGCUGGUUGGUGAGGUAACGGCCCACCAAGGCGACGAUCAGUAGCCGGCCUGAGAGGGUGAACGGCCACAUUGGGACUGAGACACGGCCCAG
rnacentral:rRNA from 1 species